rnacentral:rRNA from 1 species
CAGCAGCCACGGGAAUACGUAGGUGGCAAGCGUUGUCCGGAAUUAUUGGGCGUAAAGGGCUCGCAGGCGGUUUCUUAAGUCUGAUGUGAAAGCCCCCGGCUCAACCGGGGAGGGUCAUUGGAAACUGGGAAACUUGAGUGCAGAAGAGGAGAGUGGAAUUCCACGUGUAGCGGUGAAAUGCGUAGAGAUGUGGAGGAACACCAGUGGCGAAGGCGACUCUCUGGUCUGUAACUGACGCUGAGGAGCGAAAGCGUGGGGAGCGAACAGGAUUAGAGACCCCGGUAGUCCCUGUCUCUUAUAC